rnacentral:rRNA from 1 species
GGAAGAAGCGAGAGUGACGGUACCUGCAGAAAAAGCGCCGGCUAACUACGUGCCAGCAGCGGCGGUAAUACGUAGGGCGCAAGCGUUAUCCGGAAUUAUUGGGCGUAAAGAGCUCGUAGGCGGUCUGUCGCGUCUGCUGUGAAAUCCCGAGGCUCAACCUCGGGCUUGCAGUGGGUACGGGCAGACUAGAGUGCGGUAGGGGAGAUUGGAAUUCCUGGUGUAGCGGUGGAAUGCGCAGAUAUCAGGAGGAACACCGAUGGCGAAGGCAGAUCUCUGGGCCGUAACUGACGCUGAGGAGCGAAAGGGUGGGGAGCAAACAGGCUUAGAUACCCUGGUAGUCCACCCCGUAAACGUUGGGAACUAGUUGUGGGGUCCUUUCCACGGAUUCCGUGACGCAGCUAACGCAUUAAGUUCCCCGCCUGGGGAGUACGGCCGCAAGGCUAAAACUCAAAGGAAUUGACGGGGACCCGCACAAGCGGCGGAGCAUGCGGAUUAAUUCGAUGCAACGCGAAGAACCUUACCAAGGCUUGACAUACACGAGAACGGGCCAGAAAUGGUCAACUCUUUGGACACUCGUGAACAGGUGGUGCAUGGUUGUCGUCAGCUCGUGUCGUGAGAUGUUGGGUUAAGUCCCGCAACGAGCGCAACCCUCGUUCUAUGUUGCCAGCACGUAAUGGUGGGAACUCAUGGGAUACUGCCGGGGUCAACUCGGAGGAAGGUGGGGAUGACGUCAAAUCAUCAUGCCCCUUAUGUCUUGGGCUUCACGCAUGCUACAAUGGCCGGUACAAAGGGCUGCGAUACCGUAAGGUGGAGCGAAUCCCAAAAAGCCGGUCCCAGUUCGGAUUGAGGUCUGCAACUCGACCUCAUGAAGUCGGAGUCGCUAGUAAUCGCAGAUCAGCAACGCUGCGGUGAAUACGUUCCCGGGUCUUGUACACACCGCCCGUCAAGUCAUGAAAGUCGGUAACACCUGAAGCCGG